GGAUAAUGGCUUAGUGGUGGAGCAUAUGCUUAGUGUGCAUGAGGUCCUGGGUUCAAUCCCCAGUACCUCCA
rnacentral:tRNA from 1 species